AUGAAGGAAGACAAUGAAUUAAACCUAAUAAAAUAUUACUUGAACGAUCUAAACACGUCGUCUCAAAAUUUAUGCAACAUUAACUAUUACAACAGUGUGUCCAAAUGUAGAAAUGAAAAAAAUAUGAAAAACGUAAAAAAUAAAAAUUCCCUUUUGGAUUGUUUACAAACUAAAACAGAUAUUCAAGAACAGUUCAAAAGCAUCGAUUUCGAGAGCAAUACAACAAAUACAACAUCCGAUAGUAACAUUUCUGAUUCCUUAUCGGAUGUUGAGAAAAAAAAAACCAUAGAUAAAAUUUUAUUGAAUAAAAAAAAAAUAAAUACUACUACUCAUCCUCCUCCUACUACUACUACUAAUAACAACAAUUGUAGUAAUAACCUUAGCACUAGCAAAAAAAAUAUCAUAUUUUCUUUUAAUAAAAAAAGCGAUGAAAAGAAAAGUUGUUCCAAAAAGGAUGCAAAUAACACAUGUAAUGACACGUAUAAUAAUUUAUUAAAUCAAAAUAAUAACCUUUUUAAUAAAUUAAAAAAAGAAUUAAAAAAAAAAAAAAAAUAUAUAAAUAAAAGUGGCAAUACACCAAUGUGUUAUGAAGAGUAUGAUAGUUCCUAUUCUUCAACAGGUAGUAGUAAACUAACAGGUGGUGGUAGAUUAACAAGUAGUGAUAGUUUAAUUAAUAGUGAUUUAAAAACAAAUAUUGUUAAAAAAAAAAAGAAAAUUUUAAAAUUAAAUAAAAAUAAUAAUCCAAACGAACAGUACCAUUUUUUUGCGAAACAAAAUGCAGAAAAAAAAAAAAAAAAAUAUAUAUCCAAAAAAGAAAAUACACAAAGCAAUUUUUUUGAUUCAUCAACUUCUAGUGAUAUUUUCCAAGAAAAAUAUAACACACAUGAUGAUUGCGAAUUGAGUAAAAAUGAAACAAAUCGUUUUACCACUCUAUUAUGUAAUAAAGACAAUUCAACACUAUACAAUAUGAAUAACUCGAUUGUGACAAAUAGUAAUAAUAAUAAUAAUAAUAAUAAUAAAGAUGAUAUACAAAAAUUAUGUAUUGUAGAUUUAAAAAAUAAAAAGAAAGUUAAAGAAAAAAUGAAUUCAUUAACAUGUAAACGUGAAAAAGAAUUGUUUAAUUAUUUAGUUGUAAAGGCAAAUGAUGAAAUUGAAAAUAUAAGUAUUAAGUUAGAACAAAAAUAUACAAAAGAGUUAAUGAAUAAAAUUCUUAAUUUAAAAAAAAAAUAUGAACAAACAAUAAAAAAAUUAUUAGAUAACAAAGCAUAUAUGUCUGUACAAUAUGAAUCAAUCAAAAAACAAAAUAAAAAAAAAAAUGAUAAAAUAAAUGAAUUAGAAAAAAGUCAAAAUAUAUUAUUAAACCAAAUAGAAAAGUUAAAAAAUGAUUAUCAGCAAUUAAUACAUGAUAUAUCAGUACAUGAAGAAAUGUUAAAAAAUAAAAAUAAUAAAAAAAUUUUAAAAUUAAAUUAUCAACUCGAUAUGAGUAACAAGGAAAUAGAAGAGCAUAAACAAAAAA
rnacentral:lncRNA from 1 species